rnacentral:rRNA from 1 species
UUAAUUGAAGAGUUUGAUCAUGGCUCAGAUUGAACGCUGGCGGCAGGCCUAACACAUGCAAGUCGAGCGGUAGCACAAGAGAGCUUGCUCUCUGGGUGACGAGCGGCGGACGGGUGAGUAAUGUCUGGGAAACUGCCUGAUGGAGGGGGAUAACUACUGGAAACGGUAGCUAAUACCGCAUGACGUCUUCGGACCAAAGUGGGGGACCUUCGGGCCUCACGCCAUCAGAUGUGCCCAGAUGGGAUUAGCUAGUAGGUGGGGUAAUGGCUCACCUAGGCGACGAUCUCUAGCUGGUCUGAGAGGAUGACCAGCCACACUGGAACUGAGACACGGUCCAGACUCCUACGGGAGGCAGCAGUGGGGAAUAUUGCACAAUGGGCGCAAGCCUGAUGCAGCCAUGCCGCGUGUAUGAAGAAGGCCUUCGGGUUGUAAAGUACUUUCAGCGAGGAA